rnacentral:rRNA from 1 species
UGGGGAAUCUUGGACAAUGGGGGCAACCCUGAUCCAGCCAUGCCGCGUGAGUGAUGAAGGCCCUAGGGUCGUAAAGCUCUUUCGCCAGGGAUGAUAAUGACAGUACCUGGUAAAGAAACCCCGGCUAACUCCGUGCCAGCAGCCGCGGUAAUACGGAGGGGGUUAGCGUUGUUCGGAAUUACUGGGCGUAAAGCGCGCGUAGGCGGAUUGGAAAGUUGGGGGUGAAAUCCCAGGGCUCAACCCUGGAACUGCCUCCAAAACUCCCAGUCUUGAGUUCGAGAGAGGUGAGUGGAAUUCCGAGUGUAGAGGUGAAAUUCGUAGAUAUUCGGAGGAACACCAGUGGCGAAGGCGGCUCACUGGCUCGAUACUGACGCUGAGGUGCGAAAGUGUGGGGAGCAAACAGGAUUAGAUACCCUGGUAGUCCACACCGUAAACGAUGAAUGCCAGACGUCGGCUAGCAUGCUAGUCGGUGUCACACCUAACGGAUUAAGCAUUCCGCCUGGGGAGUACGGCCGCAAGGUUA